rnacentral:rRNA from 1 species
UACGUAGGGGGCAAGCGUUGUCCGGAAUCAUUGGGCGUAAAGAGCUCGUAGGCGGUCUGUUGCGUCCGCUGUGAAAACUCGGGGCUUAACCCCGAGCCUGCAGUGGAUACGGGCAGACUAGAGGUAGGUAGGGGAGAAUGGAAUUCCCGGUGUAGCGGUGAAAUGCGUAGAUAUCCGGAGGAACACCGGUGGCGAAGGCGGCUUCCUGGACCGACACUGACGCUGAGGCGCGAAAGCUAGGGGAGCAAACGGG